AUGUUUGAGUGGGAGGGAGGCAGCCACUUCCUGUUGUUUGGACUUGGACUCGCACAUCAGAGCUCAUUGACAGGACGAGUUUUUGUAUGGACGGCUCACCGCUUCGCAUCACCGUGGUUCAGUUUCGCUGAAGGAGGAACCAAACUCGUCCUUGCGGGUGAGGUGCAUCGGCCCACCGUGACCCUCUUCCCUCCUUCCAAGGAGCAGCUGAAAACAGAAAAGGCCACAGCCGUGUGCGUGGCCAAAGGGCGCCCCGAAACCUGGACCUUGGACUGGAAGAUUGAUGGCGGCCCCGUUACCUCGGGGGUGUCGCACAGUUCCCCGGAAGAGGCGAAUGGGCUUUACAGCUGGACCAGCACCUUGAGCCUCUCAGCAGACCAGUGGCGCAAGGCCCAAUCAGUGAGCUGCGAGGCCAGCCUAACCGGGCAAACGCCCGUCACGCAAACCCUGCCCAACCCAGGACAAUGCUCAGAGUAGAGCCUGAACCCGUGUCUGUGUCUUUGCAACGUUGAAGCAUUGUGAAAUAAAAUGUCUGAGUAUCACCA